rnacentral:lncRNA from 1 species
GGGUAGGAUGGCCAUUUUUACAAUAUUAAUUUUUCCAACCCAGGAGCGUGGAAAUUCUUUCCAUUUCUUUACAUCUUCCUUAGUUUCCUUGAUUAGUGUUUUAUAGUUUUCAGCAUGUAAGUCUUUCACCUCCCUGGUGAGGUGUAUUCCCAGGUAUUUGAUUUUUUGGGGUGCAAUUUUAAAAGGUAUUAUAUUUCUGUAUUCCUUUUCUAUUAAUUCAUUGUUAGUAUACAGAAAUGUGACUAAUUUCUUAAUGUUAAUCUUAUAUCCUGCUACUUUUCUGAAUUUGUUGAUCAGUUCAAGUAGUUUUGGGGUUGAGUCCUUGGGGUUUUCUAUGUAUAGUAUCAUGUCAUCUGCAUACAUGAAAAUUUUACCUCUUCUCUUCCUGUUUGGUUGACUUUUAUUUCUUUUGUUUGCCUAAUUGCUGUGGCUAGGACUUCCAAUACUGUGUUGAAGAGCAUUGGUGAGAGUGGGCAUCCCUGUCUUGUUCCAGAUUUGAGUGAGAAGGCUUUCAGUUUUUCCCCAUUGAGUAUUAUAUUUGCUGUGGGUUUAUCAUAAAUGGCUUUGAUUAUGUUCAGGAAUGUUCCUUCUAUACCCACUUUGGCGAGGAUCUUGAUCAUGAAUGAAUGUUGGACUUGGUCACAUGCUUUUUCUGCGUCUAUUGAGAUGAUCAUAUGAUUUUUGAGUUUUCUUUUGUUAAUGUGGUGUAUGACGAUUGAUUUGAGUAUGUUGAACCAUCCUUGUGAACCUGGGAUGAACCCUACCUGGUCAUGGGGUAUAAUUUUUUUGGUAUGUUGUUGGAUUCGGUUGGCUAAGAUUUUGUUGAGAAUUUUUGCAUCUAUAUUCAUCAAUGAUAUUGGGCGAUAGUUUUCUUUUUUGGUGUUAUCUCUGUCUGGUUUUGGAAUGAGGGUGAUGGUGGCAUCAUAGAAUGUCUUUGGGAGUAUUCCUUCUUCUUCAACCUUUUGAAAGAGUUUUAGGAGGAUGUCUUCUGCCCAUUUUUGAUUGGAUUUUUUUGAUAUAUAUGCAUGAGCUAUUUGUAUAUUUUGGAGUUUAGUCCCUUGUCAGUAGCUUCAUUUGCAAAUAUUUUCUCCCAUUCUGUGGGUUGUAUUUUCAUUUUUUUCUCAUUUUUUAUGGUUUCCUUUGCUGUGCAAAAGCUUUUAAGUUUAAUUAGAUUCCAUUUGUUUUUGUUUUUAAUUAUAUUUUCAUUGCUUUGGGAGGUGCACUUGAAAAAACUAUUACUGCAGUUUAUGUCGAAGAGUGUUCUGCAUGUUUUCCUAUAAGAGUUUUAUAGUAUAUGGUCUUCUGUUUAGAUCUUUAAUCCAUUUUGAGGUUUGUUUUUUUUUUUUUUGAUUUUUAGGGCUAUGCCUGCGGCAUAUGGAAAUUCCCAGGCUAGGGGUCAAAUCAGAGCUGUAGCUGCUGGCCUAUGCCAUGGCAACUUGUGAUCUGAGCUGCAUCUGUGACCUACACCAUAGCUCACAGCAAUCCCAGAUUCCUAACCCACCGAGCGAGGCCAGGGAUUGCACCCCUACCCUCAUAUUUACUAGUCAGAUUAGUUUCUGCUCUGUCACAGUGAGAACUCUGAGGGUUUUGUGUGUGUGUGUGUGUGUGUGUGUGUGUGUGUGUGUGUGUGUGUGUGUAUGGUGUUGGAGAAUGUUCUAAUUUGAUUUUUUUUGCAUGUAGCUGUCCAGUUUUCCCAACAGCACUUAUUAAAGAGACUGUCUUUGCUUCAUUGUAUAUUCUCACCUCCUUUGUUAUAGAUUAAUUGACCAUAAGUGCGUGGUCUUAUUUCUGGGCUUUCUAACCUAUUCCACUGAUCUAUAUUUCUGUUUGUUUGUGUGUGUGUGUGUGUGUAUGUAUAUUAUUUCUGUUUUAUGUAUAUAUGUGCCAGCACCAUAAUGGUUUGAUGACUGCAGCUUUGUAGUGUAGUCUCAAGUCAGGGAGCCUAAUUCUUCCAGUUCCACUUUCAUUUGUCAAGUUUGCUUGGGCUAUUUGGGGUCUUUUGUGUUCCAUACAAAUUUUAAAAUACACAUUUUUAUCUAACUUAAGUCUACCAUUAGAUAUCACUAACACUUAUUCAUGUGUAGUAUUUGUGCUUUAUAACUCCCACUUCUCCCCUUCUAUCUCUUGGUAAAUUAAUGUCGUUCAUUUCACUUAUCCUCAUGUUACAAUCACUUAAUAAAUUACUAUUAUUAAUUUAAAGAAUUAACAGUUUGGAUCAAAUUAUAAUAAGAAAAAUAUUUUUUUAUUUUACCUUAAUUUAGUCCUCACUUCUCAUGCUCUUCUCUUUUCCAUGUCUACAUGAAGUUUCAUGUCUAUUCCAAGUUUCUGACCCACAUGAUUUGACUUCUUCCUGAAAAUUUUCUUUUAAUAUUUCUUAUAAGGAAAGUCUGUUGUAGGUUUUGUUUCUCAGAGAAAGACUAUUUCUCAUUCAGUUUUGAAGGAUAAUUUCACUGGAUAAUGAAUUCUUGAAGGUGGUUUUUUUCCUUUCAUCCCUUUAAAUAUCUUAACUAUAUUCUCUUCUUGUUUGCGUGGCUUUCAGUGAGAACCCUCCUGUAAUUCUUAUCCUUUUUCCUAUAAGGAAUUCUCCCCUCUAGCCAUAAUGGCUUCUUUCAAGAUUUGUCUUUGUCUCUGGUUUUCCAAAGUUUGAAUAUGAUAUACCUAGUUUUAGCUUUUUUGAUAUUUAUUUGGUGUUCACUGAGCUUCCUGGACCUAUGAUUUGGUGUCUGUCAUUAAUUUAGCAUUUUUCCUUCUGUUAAUUCAAUUACAUGUUAGCCAUGUUGAAAUUGUCCAUGGUUCUUCUUUAUUCUAUUUGACUCAUUUUUUUCUCUUUGCAUUUUAACUUGGGGAGUCUCUAUGAACUUACCUUCAUGUUUAGUGAGUCUUUCCUUGGCUUUUUCAAGCCUACCAAUGAGCUUGUUAAAGGCACUUUUUUAAAAUUAUUUUUUAGGGCUGCAUAUGUGGCAUAUGAAAGUUCCCAGGCUAGGGGUCGAAUUGGAGCUAUAGUUGCUAGCCUAUACCACAGGUGCAGCAGGAUGGGAUCUGAGCCACAUCUAUGACCUAGUUCAUGGAAACACCGGAUCCCCAACCCACUGAGCGAGGCCAGAGAUCAAACCCGCAUCCUCAUGGAUACUAGUCGGAUUCGUUUCCAGUGUGCCACAAUGGGAUCUCCCUGUUAAAGGCACUUUUCAUUUCUGUUAUAGCGUUUUCAAUUUCUAGUACUUACAUUUGGUUAUUUCUUAGUUUACAUCUCAGUACUUACAUUAUCCAUCACCUAUAUGUUCCUGCCUUUGUCUACUCUUUUAUUUAGAAACCUUAAUAUAUUAUUUUAAACUGCCCCUCUGAUAAUUCCAACAUCUGUGUCAUAUCUCAAUCCCAUAAUGAUCUUUACUUUUUGUCUUCAGACUGUGUUUCAUUCUUAACUCUUGGAUGCUUGUACAUUUUUUAUUGAAUGCUAGACAUGCUAUAUUAGGUACUAGGAACUUUGGUAAAUAGGCCUUCUAGUGUGACAGUUUAUGUAAAUCUGGAUAGUAGUUGGUAUGUGUGUGAUAUUAGCUAUAGCUAUUGAUGACAGUGACUCCAAAAUCAUCUAGAGUUUUUGUUUCCUCUUUUGCCAAGUGUUUUCCUUAAGUAGUUCUCUUCAGUAAGAGUCUGUUUUGCAGCUCUUACAGUUGUCAUGUGCUGUUGUUAUACUAGACCUACAUGACAUGGUGACAUGGAAUGGGGGAGGAAAACAUGAUGUAAUCUUAUGAUUAAAUCUCAUUUUUUCAAUGGGUCUAUUUGGGAUAUAAUCUUUACAAGUGUAUCAUAGCUUCCCCCGCACUCCUUUCUUUGGCUGCAGUGUUUCCAAUCUAUUUGAAACCCUGUCUCCUAUUGACUAUGUUUUAUUUUUUCCCAUUAGUUGAGAGAAUGCAUUACCCAGAAAUUCUUCUUUAAAAUACUGAUCCUCAACUGCAGUUGCCAGUUAUUGACAAGUCCUUUGUGGGAAUGGGUAAAGCUGCCACAAGAUGCUAUCUCACUCAAACCACAAAAGCGAUCCAAAGGCAGUAAAGAGGUUAUAAAAUCCCAUCCUUGAAAUAAUAGAUAUCUUCCACCAAGCAGUGGUCAUUGAAACCAGUUGCUUCUCAGAUCCAUGGACACAGUUACCAGGCCCUGCUUUCUUUCUCAUUGCCUUAUUUUUGUGCUGAAUCCUUUACUCUGACACCAGACUUUUGCUUAUGUCCUGCUGUCUACCCCUCAGACCUCUGAAAUAUGAUUCAUAAUCUUUAUUCAUGAUUCUGUAUGAGUCUUAUUGGCCAAAACCAGUGAGCAGAUGCAUUUCUUAGCCCAUAGAGUCUGCAUCUCAGCAUUUGUACACCACAUCUUCAAGUUUGUUCCAACAUCUGUGAUCCUUUGGCAGGAUUUGCUCUUGGGACUUCACUUCCAUUCUUUUAUCUAUAAAUCAUAGAUUUCAUUGCCAGUGACCUUCCUGCCUUGCCUUUCUUAUCUCAUGCUUAUUUAAGAUCAAGUUUUAAACCAAAUUCCUGAAAUUAGGGGAAUACUAGUUUUCCAAUGGAAUUUUUAAAUGUAUCAUCUCUGUAAGUUCAAAUUUCAGUCUUUGGUGUUAAUUUUCAACAAAGUAGAUGUGAAUCUAAGAUCAGACAGUCAUAGUUUCCUCUCCUUGGACCCCAUCUUUUAUUUAAUCCUCCAAUGCUUUUCUAAUACUGGAAAUGGCUUUCUCAAGAACCUUGUCGAAAAAAUAUUGUUGUGGUACAUUACAUUAGGUUUGUCUCCUGUGCAAGUUGUGGGCUACUUGAUAUUAUCAAAUAUGCUCCGGGAAAGUCUUCCUCACAUUUGAUCAUAGGCUGUUAUAAGGCUUAACAAUUUCUGGAGUUCUAAUAUUAUACCUUCAUUCUUCAGGCCAAAUAGUUUAACAUGCAGAUGCUUUUUGGAAGAGUAAUGUUUUAUGCCUGGGGAAGUUUGAUAGGAAGGAAAGAAGACAGAAUGUGAGCGCUGAAAGGAGAAAAAGUAUGGGAAUGGGAGUUCCCGUCAUGGUGCAACAGAAACGAAUCCAACUAGGAAUCAUGAGGUUGCACUUUCCAUCCCUGGCCUCGCUCAGUGGGUUAAGGAUCCGAUGUUGCUGUGAGCUGUGGUGUAGGUCACAGAUGUGGCUUGGAUCUGGCAUUGCUGUGGCUGUGGUGUAGGCCGGUUAGCUACAGCUCUGAAUACACCUCUAGGCUGGGAAUCUCCAUAUGCCACAGAUGCGGCCCUAAAAGGACAAAAAGACAAAAAAAAAAAAAAAA